AUCCUUGGAGAGGAAAAAAUAAUUCUCGCUGAAGUGUCAUCCGUCCGCAGCACGAGAUGGCUUAUUUAUAUCCAUCUUCGUGGCUUCUUAGUAAAAUGAAGGAAAAAUGCUUUUUAACUUCAAAACGCUAAGGCGAAUUAUUUGAUCUUCAAUAUAACCCAUGCACGAGGAUGGCUGAAAAUCAUUUUAAGGUUCUAGCCAAUUAGGCAUUAAUUUGCACUAAAACAAAGCCAACCAUGCCGAAAUUUAUGUAAACAGUAAGUUUGUAAGCAUUAAAUGAAAGGACUUUAAAAACUUGAGCUUGAGAUCAGGGAAUUUCCUGUUGUGGGAAAAGCUUCUGUGUAUCUUUCUAAUUUUUAUUAAAUCCCUCAUCAGCAAUACAGUCAUAGUCACUAAUGACUCUUACACAGGGGAUCAUUUUUAGCUAUCCACGUUCUGUGACAUGGUGGUAAAAAUGUCAGUGACUGCGUACCGAGAGCUCCUGUUAUUGGAGUCGUGUUAUAUUCUAGAAAAAUCCUCUGCAGAAAAUACAGCGCUGUCGUUUUACCAGCUGGUGAUACAGACACCAAUUUCUGCUUGGAAAUCUGGUCAGUGGUUGGCGAUGUAAGCGCAGUAACUGGGCUGAAGAUUGAGAUUUAAACCAAUGCAUACCUUUCUGGUAAUGUCAGGCUGCCGUUUAAAGAGCUGUUCUGUGCAAAGAGGGCAUAACAGUUCCGUGCUUACCUUUCAAUUUUAAAUUCAUUGCAGAAAAUGUGUUUGUAAAGCUGAUAGAAUGCUUCAUAUUAGAUUUGAAAUAGAUGUAGUCGGAGUUAUAAAACUGAAAUAAGGUUUCAAAUGUCUUACUGCUGUACUCCUUGUUUUGUUUCAGAAUUAAUCAGAUACAAGUUAGAGAAAGCUUCCAGAAUCUGAACAGAUGAAGAUCAAUUGAUAAAUCGACCCAGUGAUUCGCCACAAUUUCAAGGUGUUUAAUAUAUGUUUCAGUGGAAAAUAAAGUGACUUUACAAUUGACCUAAAGGGACUUCAAGCUUGAAACAGUGAAGCUGGAAAAGGAUUGUAAGCUGUACCUCAGUCACUUAGAUCAAGUGAUUUGGACAAGGAAGGUUUGGCAUAUAUACCAUGUAACAAUUUAAAUGUAUUUAUUACAGUUUAGAAGAUGUUAACUUCUUUUUUCUAAGUAAUUAAUUUUAUCUAUUUCUGAAUUUCUGUCGUAUUUUAAUGCAUUGGAAGGCUCUUAUGCUCUGGUAUAUACCAUAGCCUACCAAAAAGUAGAAUUGUAAACUGAGGCAAGAAUUAUACAGUUACUGAACACAGUUGAGGUUCUUCUCCAUAACUGGCAUUUGUGGCAGAAUAUUAGGAAAAAAAGAGAGAAUUAUGAUAAUAAGUUGAAAUUUGGCUGAUUUUGCAGAUUAUAGGAACUUCUAAUUGAUUGAGCAGUAUCUGUUUCUUUCUCUGUUUCCCCUGCAUGUUAAUAUUUGCUCUGUAUCAUCACAUGCAUUUCAUCAUCUUGUGUAUUUUUUCUUGAUAUAAAGAAAGAAAAGAUUUUGCUCAGAGUUUGCAUUUUCCUUAUACAUAAACUUGGAAAAUCCAGUCUGCUUCAGACAAACUAGUAUUUGCUGUGCAAAUCAUCUUUUAAUAUCUUUUAAAGUAGAUUGUAGCAGAAGGGGCCAUUACAGUGAACACAGAGCUGGUCUGCAGAAUUUAUUUAAGUGGCAGAAUUAAUCUGGGCUCAAGAAGAGUGCAGAAUGUUUGUCACAGUGUUGCUCUUAAACUGCUGUCUUCUCUUGAACAGCUCAGCAAAAUUCCUUUUUAACCCUCAAUUCUGCAUUUGAAAAUUUAUAUUUUGAAAGUUUAUGUGAAAGAAAGUGCUGUUUCAGGAAGAUAAAUAGUGUAAAACUUACCUAUGGGCUCCUUUUGCAAGACUGUACAGUUUCAGGCCCAUGGAUUUGGGCAGGUCUGUGGCUCAAUAGUUAUGGCUUCUGCCUCAGCAGAGAACUUGAGGUUUGCUCUGCCAGUUGACAAAACUUAGGGACACCAGUUAUCAUACUUAAUAAAAAUUCUGUGUGUUAUACAGUGGAGGCCAAAUGGGUUUGGUGUAAUAUUGAUCUUCAAAGUUAAUGUAGUCAGGUAUUUUUUUGGAAAGUAUGGAUUAAUUAUAAUAGGAUAUGGUAAUAUUCCAGGAAUCUGGAUUAUUGUACAUAAACCUAACGACAGGACCAACGGAAAAUGAGCUCAAAUUCCUUUUAUUUAUGUCAUCAAGCAUUGUAAGAGUAUGAAAAUGUAGCUAACUAAAGAAUUUGGUUAAAUUUAGCAUGGAGACAUGGGAUGUAUAUCCUAGGUGCUUAUUUACAUUAGAGUAGAAUUUCUUUUUCUUCUUCAGUAUGCUUUUCAACUUUCUAAUCACAUUGGUGGUCCUCUGAUGGACCUCAUCCAGUUUUUUAACAUCUUUCUUGAACUGGCCCAGGCUUUCAGCUUCCAAUCUCUGGAUAGUGACACUUUCUUCCAGCAUAUCUACUUGUUAUCCAAGAUUCACAUAGUGCGCACCUCACAAGGUGAGGAUGCAUUCAGUCCCAUCAUCCAGGUGGUCUAUUGAUCAGGAUUGGACCCACUAUUGAUCCCCAAAGACCUCCAUUUCUGACUGGCUGCUACUUUGACUGUGAGCACAGCAGUUUAGCCAGUUUGCCACCAAAUCUGAGACCCGUGCCCAUGGCCUUUUGAGCUAACGCUUAGCACCCAUGGGUAUGUUUUAUAUACGUGUCCAUGUCCAGCUGGUAUGAUUUUUUUGUUGUUAAAAUUUUGCACACGUUGUCGGUGUGGGUAGCAUCAGUGAGCAGAAAUGAAAUUUCUGAAGAAUGGUGUAAAUUCAAAUUUUCAUCAGUGUGAGUGCUCGGGGUCCUUGAUGUGAUGGUGGUCAGCGUGUCAGACUUCUAACGGUAUGAGGAUUCAGGCACUCACAUCAGAGACAGACAACUCCAUUGUGGUCUCAGGGAGCUCUCAAGUUGUGUGGGCUGUGCAUGGACCCAAAGUCUCCUGCCUCAGUGGAUUACCACAGAGCUAUGGACAAGCUGGUAAGAAACCAAUCAGGGUUUUGAAACCUUGCCUAGUAGGUAGGUUCUGUCUGAUGAUUGUCGAUAUCAAAGUAUUCCCCUUAAGUGCUUUGAUUUCAACAAAUGGAAAUUCAGCCUAAAUAUUCUGUUACAAUUAAUCUGAGUAGCUGUGUAUUAUAAUCACUUUAAGUUUGUAAUAUCACGUCAGCUGUGUAUAAGGUCAUACCUAUUUCUUAUUCCUUAGAUUAACAUUAUUCAUCUGUAUAGCCAGAUUGCCAAGAUUGUUUUAACAUUUCCAAAUUCAAAAGAUGAAUUCAAUACCACAUCUAAAAUAAAUAAAGAUUAGUUUGAUUUCCAAAUCAUUAACUGGAAGUAUAAUAUGUAGUUUUACCUACUCACAUCUAAAAUUUGCAAAUGUUGUGUUCCUAGUCUGUAUUUCUCUCUGCAGGAACUGAGAGUAUUUUAUAAGACAGAUGCUGUGUAUUUUAUAACAGUGGCAGUGGCAUGCAUUUAUCAUCUGGGUAUUAAAAUGUUACAUUAUUUUAAUACAACAGUGUAGUCAUUGUGAAGUUUAAAUAAACAUGUGAGGGCAUCCGCUGUGUUCUCAUCCUAAUGCAGGAUUCUCAGAUUUGCUUACAGUUAUUAAGCUCCAUUCCCUGAGCGAUUCUUCUCAGAAGAGGAUACUUCCAGUUAGUUUUCUAAUCUUAACAAUAUAAUUUUUUCUUUCCUGGUACAGGUGGUUUGUAGUAGACAUCCACAGUAAUUUCACUUUCCACUAUUCAAAAUAGCUCUAUUCCAGAGCUUCUGAGCAUCUUCUGCUCUCUUUGAAGUGUUACUCAUAAAUAAAAUUAUACUAUUUCCAGGAUCUGUGAGAAAAGGAUAAUAGCUUGUCAUGGUUUGAGGUUUCACUUUUUAUUGUGUGCUGCUCGUGGUUGUUAUUCUGAGGGAUCACAGUCCUGUGUAUGAAGGGAGAAGUCGCUUGUUUUCACUGGAGGUGAGAGUGAACUACAGAUUACCAUGUUAGUUGUGUUAACGUUUUCCCGUGGUGGAGCUUAAAUGAAAUGAUCUGUUUUGUUAUUCUGGAUAGUUCUCUCAUCACCUGGACAUGCUGAUUUAUAUGAACUUUUUAUCUCUUGCCUUUCUACUUGCCCAAUUAUAUUCUUCUACUUCUCAUAGUACAGACAUACUUUAAAAUGCACAAAAUCUGCUCUCAGUUCUGCUGCUGUCAGCAGGAGCUGACCCGAGGGUCGGGAUUUCACUUCUGUGUGUCACCUCCUCCAGUUGUCAUUUCAGCCUGAAUCUCAGCUACAAACAGGUCUUUGUAAUAAUAUUUUUCUUUUUUCUUGAUUGCUUCAAAUCCUUUAGUUACAAUUAACUUACUUGAUUUCCUUCUGUGCACUGAUGCCCCUCGCUUCUUUUCCUCAAGAGGCUAUUUGGUUUUCUUCUGAGUGCUUUCUUCUGAUGCUCUCAUAGGUUCUGUCUUUCUCUCCCUUCAACAUUUUAAUUCAUGCAUCCUUUCACAUUUGUUGUGGAAAAUCACCAGUGAGUAACAUUGUACUUCUGCUCAUAAGAGUUUAGCUGCAGAUUCACCCUUUCUUUUCCAUUCCAAAUAAGAAUGAUCACAUCUCAGGUCUUGUACAGAGGUUGUCUCAUAGAUUCUAACUGAACACCUGAGUGAGGUGUUCCCUGUUUGAACAGCUUUCCAGGACCACCUGGCAAAAGAAUGAAACCUGUCAGUGCAUGUGGGGAAAUGCCUGCAGUGUCAUGACACAACGUAGCCUUCCUCUGCAGUUUUCAGCAGUUGUUUGCUGUUGGUAAGCAUACGUUUAGUUGUAGCUUUACCAACUAUGCUUAAUAUGUUGUUGAAUCUGUUCAGUGAGCGUUGAAUCUGCAUUAUCCCCUUUCUGUGUGUUUUGAUUUCUCUUCCUGACUCCAUUCUUUCCUUCCUCUUACAGGUUGUGUUGUAUUUUUGUUUGUUUGUUUAUCUUCGCCCCACUACUUGGCUGUCUUCUUUGCAUGAGCUGCUGCUUUCUGCUCUCUCCUGCCUCACGCUUCCUUUUUCACUUAAUCUAUUUGAGCUGAACUUAUUCCUCCAUGUUUUGUUUUUUCUCACUUAGUUCUUCACUAUGUGUGUUGUUCAGUCACAGUCCCAUUCCCAACAUCACUUCUUGGGCUGUUUUGCCCCCUCAGUUAAGCCCUUUGAAUUGACAGUGUUUCUGGACAACUUUCUGCUCUCCUAAAGGAGCAUGGGCCUCUUGGCAGCUCUUCCCACUGGAGUGUUCUACCUGAUCUUGACCAGAUUCAUCGCUCUUAAUUCUGGACACCUCAUAGAAGCACCUAACUUAGGUGCAUGGUCAUCCGUGACUUUGUGGUUAGUGAGAAGAAAACGGCUUCUUCAGAAGCUUUUUAGACCAGGAGGGACCAAACUGAUCUCACAAGCUUCCUUGGCUCUCCUGAUUGCCCAGGGAGCUGUGAAUGACUGUACUUCCAACCAGGGUGUGUCAGAUUCCUAAUAGCCAUCUCUGUUCAAAGUAUACAGCUUAUAUACAUGUUUUCAGUUCUGACCUUCUAGCGGGGUGGAUUUUCAGGUCUUUGCCUCUUUUCCUCUAAAAUCAUCAGCACAACCAUGUAUAGUGCUUUGGAAAUGGUUUAAGAGAAUUGAACUUGUGUGCUUAAAAAUAAAAACAGAAACAACCUGAUCACAUCUUCAGCAUAGUGAGUUUGUGGGAGAGAAUAUUCCUCCUCUCUGACUAAUCAGUCCUGUGCACUGAACUGAUCAACCCAUCUUUCUGCUGCCACUUUCCUCCCUCUGCUGGAACACUGAUGUAUUCAUGGCAUAGUGGGAAAAAUUGUUACUGGAGGAAGGAAGCUUACUAAGGGACGGACAGCCUGAGGCCAGACCACAGAAUUAGAUCUGGAGUGGAAAUGUAUAGGAAGCAAGCUAUGGAAGAGAGAGGGGAAAAAUCACAACAACAGGCUUGAAAGAGCAAAAAAAAAAAAA